UUACCCUACGGAGUGCUCAGGUCCGCCGCAUCUCCUGGGUCCGUAGGGUCGGCCGGCGCGCAAGUAGUUGGAGUGGCCUCCUCGAAACGCUACUUGCCGCCGGCCACCUU
rnacentral:sRNA from 17 species